AACGAACGCUGGCGGCAUGCCUAACACAUGCAAGUCGAACGAGACCUCCGGGUCUAGUGGCGCACGGGUGCGUAACGCGUGGGAACCUGCCCUUAGGUUCGGAAUAACUCCCCGAAAGGGGUGCUAAUACCGGAUAAUGUCUUCGGACCAAAGAUUUAUCGCCUUUGGAUGGGCCCGCGUUGGAUUAGCUAGUUGGUAGGGUAAAAGCCUACCAAGGCGACGAUCCAUAGCUGGUCUGAGAGGAUGAUCAGCCACACUGGGACUGAGACACGGCCCAGACUCCUACGCGAGGCAGCAGUGGGUAAUAUUGGACAAUGGGCGAAAGCCUGAUCCAGCACUGCCGCGUGAGUGAUGAAGGCCUUAGGGUUGUAAAGCUCUUUUACCCGGGAUGAUAAUGACAGUACCGGGAGAAUAAGCUCCGGCUAACUCCGUG
rnacentral:rRNA from 1 species